rnacentral:rRNA from 1 species
GACGAACGCUGGCGGCGUGCCUAAUACAUGCAAGUAGAACGCUGAAGGAGUAGCUUGCUCUUCUGGAUGAGUUGCGAACGGGUGAGUAACGCGUAGGUAACCUGCCUGGUAGCGGGGGAUAACUAUUGGAAACGAUAGCUAAUACCGCAUAACAGUAGAUGUUGCAUGACAUUUGCUUAAAAGGUGCAAUUGCACCACUACCAGAUGGACCUGCGUUGUAUUAGCUAGUUGGUGGGGUAACGGCUCACCAAGGCGACGAUACAUAGCCGACCUGAGAGGGUGGUCGGCCACACUGGGACUGAGACCCGGCCCAGGCUCCUACGGGAGGCAGCAGUAGGGAAUCUUCGGCAAUGGACGGAAGUCUGACCGCGCAACGCCGCGUGAGUGAAGAAGGUUUUCGGAUCGUAAAGCUCUGUUGUAAGAGAAGAAAGAGUGUGAGGGUGGAAAGUUCACACUGUGACGGUAUCUUACCAGAAAGCGACGGCUAACUACGUG